AUUUAUUUAAUAUAUUAAGUAUAUUUGACUUCCAAUCAAAAAGUUUAUUCACUAAAAUAAAUA
rnacentral:tRNA from 1 species